AUACGUAGGUGGCAAGCGUUGUCCGGAAUUAUUGGGCGUAAAGGGCACGCAGGCGGUCCUAUAAGUCUGAUGUGAAAUCUCGCGGCUUAACCGCGAGCGGUCAUUGGAAACUGUAGGACUUGAGUACAGAAGAGGAGAGUGGAAUUCCACGUGUAGCGGUGAAAUGCGUAGAUAUGUGGAGGAACACCAGUGGCGAAGGCGGCUCUCUGGUCUGUGACUGACGCUGAGGUGCGAAAGCGUGGGUAGCAAACAGGAUUAGAUACCCUGGUAGUCCACGCCGUAAACGAUGAGUGCUAGGUGUUGGGGGGCACGCCCCUCAGUGCUGAAGUAAACACAUUAAGCACUCCGCCUGGGGAGUACGGCCGCAAGGCUGAA
rnacentral:rRNA from 1 species